rnacentral:tRNA from 1 species
GAAAUAAGGAAUCAAGAAUAAGCUUCUAACUUAAUUCUUAAGCAAUGAAAUUUUGUUUUUAUUUCU